rnacentral:rRNA from 1 species
UACGGAAUGUGCAAACGUUAUUCGGAAUCACUGGGCUUAAAGAGUCUGUAGGCGGCUUGUUAGGUGAGGUGUGAAAUCCCUCGGCCCAACCGAGGAAUUGCGCUUCAAACCGGCAAGCUAGAGGAGGAUAGAGGUGGGCGGAACUGAUGGUGGAGCGGUGAAAUGCGUUGAUAUCAUCAGGAACACCGGAGGCGAAAGCGGUCCACUGGGUCCUUUCUGACGCUGAUGGACGAAAGCUAGGGGAGCGAACGGG